rnacentral:rRNA from 1 species
GACAGAGGGUGCAAACGUUGUUCGGAAUUACUGGGCGUAAAGCGUGUGUAGGCGGCUUUGUAAGUCGGAUGUGAAAGCCCCGGGCUCAACCUGGGAAGUGCACUCGAAACUGCAAAGCUUGAGUAUCGGAGAGGUCGGUAGAAUUCUCGGUGGAGAGGUGAAAUUCGUAGAUAUCGAGGGGAAUACCAGUGGCGAAGGCGGCCGACUGGACGAAUACUGACGCUGAGACACGAAAGCGUGGGGAGCAAACAGG